rnacentral:rRNA from 1 species
GAUGAACGCUGGCGGCGUGCCUAAUACAUGCAAGUCGAGCGAACAGACGAGGAGCUUGCUCCUCUGAUGUUAGCGGCGGACGGGUGAGUAACACGUGGAUAACCUACCUAUAAGACUGGGAUAACUUCGGGAAACCGGAGCUAAUACCGGAUAAUAUAUUGAACCGCAGGGUUCAAUAGUGAAAGACGGUCUUGCUGUCACUUAUAGAUGGAUCCGCGCCGCAUUAGCUAGUUGGUAAGGUAACGGCUUACCAAGGCAACGAUGCGUAGCCGACCUGAGAGGGUGAUCGGCCACACUGGAACUGAGACACGGUCCAGACUCCUAAGGGAGGCAGCAGUAGGGAAUCUUCCGCAAUGGGCGAAAGCCUGACGGAGCAACGCCGCGUGAGUGAUGAAGGUCUUCGGAUCGUAAAACUCUGUUAUUAGGGAAGAACAUAUGUGUAAGUAACUGUGCACGUCUUGACGGUACCUAAUCAGAAAGCCACGGCUAACUACGUG